ensembl:lncRNA
CAGCCGUUUGGGCAUUUUAACACCGCUUGUGUCAUUUUGUGGGGCUUUGCGUACACUGGAGAGUCUAUUGUAAACAACCGUUACGUGCGGUCUGGCUCGUUACACUGCCUAGUCCCAGCAUUCCCGUGUGUUUACCGUUUGAGUGGGGACAUCCAAUAUAUGCUGUUUGGCAUCUACUUCAUUUCUAUCCCGUGGAUACUGACGUCAGCUCUGCUUUCUGGUGUGGCAAACGGCUGCGUUAUUUGGAGCUGUGUGUCCGACGGCAGUGAGGCUUUCCUUCACCGUGUGCUGUGUUAUGCUGUGUGAGCACCACUGAUAAAAUCACGGGAACAAGACAGCAGCGUAGACUCUUUGAAGGGUCUCUUUGGCUACCUCCCCUGAUUGUGUUUCAGGUCCAAAUUUUCUUUCUGCCCCGCCUUGCUUGGUGGAGCUGUGUGUCCGACGGCAGUGAGGCUUUCCUUCACCGUGUGCUGUGUUAUGCUGUGUGAGCACCACUGAUAAAAUCACGGGUAUUGGAGUGAGUGUGUGUGUGUGUGUGUGCACUUAGUGUGAUUCUCCUCUUUUGCUCCCUCUCUUAGCCCAUUUGAUGCCAAUAGGCUACAGCUCCGAAGUAAAUGUGAAUCCUUAUUGUGGAUUGUGAUUUCCAGCUUAGUAAUUGGCUGGGUGACUAUUAUUCCUGCAUUUUAAACUUUUGUACUAAUAAACAAACUCUAUUUUGCUACCCACGUCUCUUGCUCAUUUUAUUCAGUGGAAUGAACCUGGGUUCCUUAUAACAUUUUAAGUGAACUGUGAU